AUACGGAGGGUGCAAGCGUUAUUCGGAAUCACUGGGCGUAAAGGACGCGUAGGUGGGUUGGCUAGUCAGAUGUGAAAUCCUACAGCUUAACUGUAGAACUGCAUUUGAAACUGCUAACCUAGAGUAUGGGAGGGGGAGAUGGAAUUAGUGGUGUAGGGGUAAAAUCCGUAGAUAUCACUAGGAAUACCGAAAGCGAAGGCGAUCUCCUGGAACAUAACUGACGCUAAGGCGUGAAAGCGUGGGGAGCAAACAGGAUUAGAAACCCCAGUAGUCC
rnacentral:rRNA from 1 species